rnacentral:lncRNA from 1 species
GGCAAGAGAAAGGCCUUUUUUGGUAACACUCAGCCCCGCGCUUUAGGAUACUUCCUACCACCACUGCCCCACCCACCCUUCGACGCGGCUGCCUCGGUUUCCCGGACCAGCAGUGUGUGCACACGACCCCGUGGUCUGCAACUACCAGAGCGUUCCAAACGAGUCCGAAGCCUCGGCUCCUCUCCCCGCACCUCCCCCUCCUGGAGCCCUCGGUGGCCCGCCGACGUUUCCUGGACGUUGUGAACUCGCAACCCGAUCGUCAGGGUGAAUCAUGUCACGGCUUUGCACCGUACCUGCAGCCUGGCAGCCAGGGACGCGGCACACAGAAGAUCCCUCCGGCUGGGAGGUGCCCUCCUAAAAGAGGCCAGAGAUAGGUGUAUCCUCUCGCCAGAUUCCUCUCCAUCAGGAUUUUUUCCUCUAAUUUAUUGCAAGAUGGAUUUUUUAAAAAACUGGGGCUGAUAAAGAAAAACCAAGGAUAGAAAACGCCCCAUAAAACAUGGUCCCCAAAGGGAAGGUGCAAAACCCAUUUGAUCCAAGAUAUAGAUAUCUCCACCCUGGCUUUUUUUCCCCUUUGCUUUACAACUCUGCAGACAUCAGGUUAGCAAAAGGUAAUAAAUAGUCCUUGCACAGCA